UCUCAGCGUUAUUAUCAUUGCCCUGGCAUGAAGAGGGAUGUUGCUUCAUUUAUAUCGCAGUGUCAGACGUGUCAGAUGGUCAAGGCCGAGCAUCAGGUGCCUAGCGGGUUAUUGCAGAACCUGCCAUUGCCAGAGUGGAAAUGGGACAUGGUAACUAUGGAUUUUGUGACGGGGUUGCCGACGACCUUAGGAGGAAAGAAUGCAAUAUGGGUAAUCGUGGAUAGACUUACCAAGUCAGCCCAUUUUCUAGCUAUUAAGAAGACGGACAGAGCUGAUCAGUUAGCACAGACUUACAUCAGCGAGAUUGUGAGAUUGCAUGGAAUUCCUGUCAGCAUUGUAUCAGAUCGAGAUACAAAGUUUACGUCCGAAUUUUGGAGAGCCUUCCAGAAGGCGCUUGGGACGAAAGUGCAUAUGAGUACGGCUUAUCACCCGCAGACAGACGGUCAAUCAGAGAGGACUAUUCAGACCUUAGAGGAUAUGCUCAGGGCUUGCGUCUUAGAUUGGGAGGGUAGUUAGGUGAAGUAUCUACCUCUAGCCGAGUUUGCCUACAACAACAGCUAUCAUUCGAGUAUUGGGAUGGCACCAUAUGAGGCUCUAUAUGGUAGGCCUUGUCGCACACCACUUUGUUGGACAGAAGUGGGGGAGCGGCGUGAGAUAGAACCAGCUAUGGUUCAAGAGACGGUAGAGCAAGUUGAGAUGCUCAAGGUUCGGCUUAAGGAAGCCCAUGACCGUCAGAAGAGUUAUGCAGAUAAGCGGCGUAAGGAUUUGGAGUUCCAGGUUGGCGACCUUGUAUACCUGAAAAUGAGGACAUUUCAAGGAGGAUCUAAGACUCGGAAGCUGAACAAGCUUAAACCAAGAUAUAUGAGACCAUACCCGAUUUUGGAGCGAAUUGGAGCAGUUGCUUACCGAUUGGAUUUAUCGGAAGAGUUAUCAGACUUCCAUGACGUGUUUCAUGUUUCGGUUUUAAGGAAAGUCGUGAGAGAACCAGAGCUCAUUUUGCAACAGCCGCCCAGUGACCUUGAUAGAAAUUUGCGUGCGCCGUGUCAGCCAGUGGAGAUAUUGGAUCGCCAAGUGAGAGCAGAUAAUGGUAUGAUGACCAUGUUGGUCAAAGUUCGUUGGGAGAGAAACGGGAUUCUGGAGGAGACCUGGGAGUCUGAGCCGCACAUGAGGAUUGAUUAUCCAGAACUUUUUCGGGAUGAUGUUGGGCAGUAAGUUCUUGACUCGAAUUCGGGACGAAUUCCUUAUUAGUGGGGGAGAAACUGUCACGACCUAACUUCUCCACUCCACCAACUCCACCCAUUAACACAUCUAUUAAACCCACCUUCUCCACUAUGUCACCUGCAAUUAAAAUAAAAAAAAAAUCAGAGAGAAGAGAAGAGUAGAGAAGAGAAGGGAAGAGAAAAGAAGAGAAGGGGAGGUGAGAAGAAGGAUUCGGAGAGGUUGAGGUCGUCACCGGAGUUCGUUAUAGCCUCUGCACCCCGUGACCGUGUUGAGCUCGCCACCACCGUUAAUCGCAGAUUUGGAGUCCAUUUGAGCAGUUGGAGUUCAUAGAUACCACUCCUCUUCCUUGCUAAGGUGAGAUCAAUGAGCAGGAGUGAUCCUAUCAGACUUGGGCUUCUUGGUGCUAUUUGGGGCUUUUGGGCUUUUACUACUAUCGGGCUUUGGACUUCUAUCACUCUUUUCGUUUUAUCGCUUUUGGGCAUUUGAGCUGCUAUCUAUCGCUUAUGUUUAUUUCUCAUUUCAAACUUUUGGUUUAUGUCGUAUUUUAUAUUUCGGAUGUUAUCGUUAUCGGGCCUUUUGGCCUUAUGCUAUCGUAUUGACUUUUAUAUUAUGAUGGAGAUUAUUAUUAUUA